rnacentral:misc_RNA from 1 species
ACACAGGGAUACAAUAAAGGUACAGAUUUUUCAAGAUGGCGGAUGAAGAAGAGUCAGAAGUGAUGUCCCAUCCAGAGCUCAUGGAGCUGUUCCGUCAAGAAUUGACUAAAUUAAUGAAAGAUCCUCUGUUAAAAGACUUACCAUCUGAACCAAAAGUCGAAGAAGUUAAUGCUCAACUAGCGCUAGAACAUGGACGCGCCAUUGUUGUGAACGUCAGGCAACAAGACGAGAAAGCCACUAUAUUACCUGUUGUUAUUGUCCAGAAUGCAACCGUUGAUGACCUGAAGAAAGCAAUCAAGAGACAUAUCACAUUGAAACAGGAACGCGACAAAGACACCAGUACACAAAUCAGCUGGAACUAUGUGUGGAGGACAUAUUGGUUAACAUUUCAUGGACAAAAGCUGACUGAAGACCACAAACAACUGAAAGAAUAUGGAAUUUCAAACAAAGAUGAAGUCACUUUUACAAAGAAACUGAGAAGAAAAUGACCCUGGAUGACGAAUGAAGUAACUAUAUUUUAACCGCUGGAUGACAAAUGAAUGUAUGGCAAAGGCCCUAAACUAUCUCAUAAUCAUGCAAAGUUCCACUUCAAAAUCGUUUCCCCAGUUGGCGAGAAGAUCACCGCCACGGAGUUUCGACUAUACAAAGCCAG